CGAACAUUCGUAUUUGAUACUUUAGCGCAAUAACUGUCGACAAAACAAUGCUACAAACAGCUGAUUGGUACACGUCCGUGCAAAGCGUAUUUCAAUGCACAUUAUUUUUCAAACGUAUUCCUGAAUAAUUAGAAACAGCAAAGCCAAUUCGAAAAUGUUUUUGGAUUAGCUCUCUAGAGUCAUCACAAUUAACAGAAACAGAUGACCCAUGAGCAGCAAAAAUUUACCGUACAAUGUAAAUAUUACCAACCAGUCUCGUUUCUUAUAGGCAUCUUGCUCGUAACCAUGGCAACGAAGAAUUGAUCAAACGCAGGUAGCCGACUUUAUAUGCAUUUAGGGCCUUGGCCGCCGAGAUACAGUGCCCGAUUCAAAUGGUAAGGCAAGUCACCCCUAAACUGGUAUUUGCCCUCGAUACAGUCCUUGUCAAAAUACAGAUAAGUCAGUUUUCGAACUCGCGCGUUACACUUCGCCAUGUUCUGAGCAGGCGCCAAGCAUUUGUAGAUUGCUAAUUUUUCCGAAGUCAGCCCUCGAAGCACUCAUCACGACGUGAAGAACUUGGAAACACAAAUGGCUCAUUAUCGAGAAGAGAAUAUAUGCAACCUCAUUCCGAAGAAAGCACCGCCACCACCAAAACUACUGAAAUAUGUUUCAAAAUUUCAUAAUCAGACCAAACAAGAAAUUGCAAGCAGCCAGAGGCAGCAUGCUCAUUUUGGCUAUCAACAUUACCCCGCCGAUAACCCGUGCGAAUUCCUUCGAAAACAGUCGAAAAAGCCCAUGACGACACCAGCAGGACACCCAAAGCAAAUCGUGAAGGCAGAACGGUUGGUAGACGACAAAAUGCCCGUUUCACUAAAGGAACGAAAGAAAGAAGGGAAGAACUUCUUGGCAAACAACAAGAAGGAAGUCAAAGAAAAGCAAAACGUUUACGUGCCAGAACGUAAGUAUGUUGAUACCAAGGGAGGCGAUAAGCACACACUUGAGCCAUCCGGUUUAAAGCUAAGAUACGUAUUCAAGAAAGACUUUGGUAAGACACCAAAAUAUUUAGCCAAGCGAGACGUAGAGAUGCGAGAAGCACAGGAACAACGAGAACGCGAAGCGAGAGAAGCAAUAGAAUCUCAAAAGGCGAAGCAAAUAUCGGAAGAAGAGCGCCAAGAGAUGCUGAAAGGCCUGAAAGAAAAUUGGGCAGCUCUGAACAAAGCAUACUCGGCCCAGUCGCUCUGCAUCGACAAUCUACCGAAGCAGUUCCGUAAAGAGAGCCUGGAGCGUCAGAUGGCGGCGCUGGAGAAAGACAUCGAUCUCGUCGAGAGGAACACCGUCAUACUGAUCGCCAGUCCCAGAGGCCACACAACCAACUAGAUCGACAGCGUCCACAAUCCACACUCGUCUCACGUGUUCCCACCAUUUUAAGUCCCCUGUCUUGUCAAUGAACGGCAAAGUAAGCGACGGAGAGGAUGUUCGCUAAGUGUUAAUACUUUUAGUCCUCCACAGUCCACUGUGUACCUGCAGUGUAUCACAAAACAGCUAAUAUGCUGCUCACAGCCCAGAUGAGACGUCGAAAAAUGUUCAUUUACAGUUCGUGCAUUAGGCUCACCAACUAGCUCAACGACUUCAACUAACUCUCUGACGCAUGUCCUUUGCUGGCACAACCACAGUCGCUGAAUAAAAUGUCCCGUGUCC